UACGGAGGGUGCGAGCGUUAAUCGGAAUUACUGGGCGUAAAGCGUGCGUAGGUGGUUGAUUAAGUUAUCUGUAAAAUCCCUGGGCUUAACCUGGGCAUGUCAGAUAAGACUGGUUGACUCGAGUAUGGGAGAGGGUAGUGGAAUUUCCGGUGUAGCGGUGAAAUGCGUAGAGAUCGGAAGGAACACCAGUGGCGAAGGCGGCUACCUGGCCUAAUACUGACACUGAGGCACGAAAGCGUGGGGAGCAAACAGG
rnacentral:rRNA from 1 species